AUUCUGGCCUGUCUGCCUGCUCUGCUCUCCCUGUGAGCAAUCAAGUCCAGCUGCUGCAGUGCAAUCAGCAGCAUGCCUCUCAGCUGCUCACAAGCAGUUAUAAGUCAGCCUGUGGCAGGCAGACAGGGCCAGAUAAUUGCAAGCCGACAAGCCAGCAGUAUCCAGCACUUCAUGUACCUGACCAAGUUUUUGACCACGCCAUCGCCUCACGGAUUUUCCCUUUUUGCCCAGCCCUCGUCGGAUUUCUCUGCCUUUUGGACAACGACCCUGUUUCUGCCCCAUGACUUCUGCCUCUUGCCAAGUCCCCUGAAUAUUAAGCCUGAGUGAGGCUUCCAGGACCUCAAGCCUGCUUCUGUGCUCCACGUCACUAUCUGUUAAAGGAGCAGUCUGCUCUGCUAAAACUGCCGACCCCUGCUGAAGGAAGGACGCUGAAAAGUUAUCCCUGGUCCUCGGCGGAUGCACUCCUGAAGUCCAGAGUUCAGAAUAAACUGUUUAAGUCCUA